GUUGACCUCGGAUCAGGUAGGGAUACCCGCUGAACUUAAGCAUAUCAAUAAGCGGAGGAAAAGAAACCAACAGGGAUUGCCCCAGUAACGGCGAGUGAAGCGGCAACAGCUCAAAUUUGAAAUCCGGCGCCCCCGCGGCGCCCGAGUUGUAAUUUGCAGAGGAUGCUUUUGGCGCGGCGCCUUCCGAGUUCCCUGGAACGGGACGCCAUAGAGGGUGAGAGCCCCGUCUGGUCGGACGCCCAGCCUCUGUAAAGCUCCUUCGACGAGUCGAGUAGUUUGGGAAUGCUGCUCUAAAUGGGAGGUAUAUGUCUUCUAAAGCUAAAUACCGGCCAGAGACCGAUAGCGCACAAGUAGAGUGAUCGAAAGAUGAAAAGCACUUUGAAAAGAGGGUUAAACAGUACGUGAAAUUGUUGAAAGGGAAGCGCUUGUGACCAGACUCGGGCGUGGCGGAUCAUCCGGCGUUCUCGCCGGUGCACUCCGCCCCGCCCGGGCCAGCAUCAGCUCGCCGCGGGGGAUAAAGGCGUCGGGAACGUGGCUCCCCCGGGAGUGUUAUAGCCCGGCGCGCAAUGCCCCGUGGCGGACUGAGGUUCGCGCGUCCGCAAGGAUGCUGGCGUAAUGGUCACCAGUGACCCGUCUUGAAACACGGACCGAGGAGUCGUCCUCGUAUGCGAGUGUUCGGGUGUCAAACCCCUACGCGAAAUGAAAGUGAACGCAGGUGAGAGCCUCACGGCGCAUCAUCGACCGAUCCUGAUGUUCUCGGAUGGAUUUGAGUAAGAGCAUACGGGGCCGGACCCGAAAGAAGGUGAACUAUGCCUGUGUAGGGUGAAGCCAGAGGAAACUCUGGUGGAGGCUCGCAGCGGUUCUGACGUGCAAAUCGAUCGUCAAACAUGGGCAUGGGGGCGAAAGACUAAUCGAACCUUCUAGUAGCUGGUUUCCGCCGAAGUUUCCCUCAGGAUAGCAGUGUCGAU
rnacentral:rRNA from 1 species